GAAGGAUUUCAUGGUACUACACCAGAGAAUACAGAGAGGAUAGACACCACAGAUAGAUCCUGACCAUUCCCCAAGGAACAACUGCACAACUGGGCGAAGAUAUCCAGUACCCUCAUAGCAUUGCUCAACACAGAGAAGGCUGGACAGUGAAACCAUCAUCUGGAAACCAUUUAUGUUAGGGAACCUUUGAGACAUCAUCAGAUCUGAAACUGAUCAGUGGCGUGGAGCCUUCCAUCAGAACCAACCUUUCUGAAGGAUCGGCUGUGGGUGAUCAGUCAGAGUGGGGCUGGGAAGAAGUGUGAGUGGCUCCAAGCAUGGUGACAGUUUCAAUCAUUUGUCAAGCCUCAUGAACCACUGAUGCAUUUUUUAAGUUGAGAGGCUGUUUGAGUGUGAAGUGUAUGAAGAGGGCUCCACAAGUGCAUCUGUUAUACACUAAUGACAGAACAACAGCUUCAUGGAAGAUAAACCAUUCAAGUGUGAGAUGUGCGAUCGAGCUUUUGCCAAGUCAUCAACCCUUGUGAAUCACCGACGCAUUCACACUGGGGAGAGGCCAUUUAAGUGUGACAUAUGUGACAAGGCAUUUGCACAGGUAUCGGGCCUGGUGAAUCACCGACGUAUCCACACUGGGGAAAAACCUUUCACAUGCAAAGUGUGCAACAAGUCUUUCUCAGAGUCAUCGACCCUCCGGAUACACCUACGCAUUCACACAGGGGAGAAGCCAUUCACGUGUGAGGUGUGUGACAAAUCAUUCUCGUCAUCAUCGGAUCUCCGUAAACACCAACGUACUCACACAGGAGAAAGACCGUUCAUGUGUGAGGUGUGUGACAAAUCAUUCUCGUACUCAUCACAUCUCCACACGCACCGACGCAUCCACACUGGGGAGAAACUGUUCAAGUGUGAAGUGUGUGACAAGUCAUUCUCUGAUUCAUCAAGUCUCUUGCUCCAUCAGAGGAUUCACACAGGCGAGAAACCAUUCACAUGCAAGUUAUGCAACAAGUCAUUCUCGCAGUCAUCGACCCUUCGCAUACAUCACCGUAUUCAUACAGGGGAGAAACCAUUUACAUGUGAGGUGUGUGACAAAUCAUUCUCACUGUCAUCGAAUCUCAACACACACAAACGCAUUCACACUGGGGAGAAACCAUUCAGAUGUGAGACAUGUGACAAAUCGUUCACACAGUCAUCGACCCUCAGCAUGCACAGACUCAUUCACACUGGGGAGAAAGCAUUCACUUGUGAGGUGUGUGACAAAUCAUUCUCAAAUUCAUCAAGACUCCUGCUCCAUCAGAGGAUUCACACAGGGGAAAAACCAUUCACAUGUGAAGUGUGUGAUAAAUCAUUCUCCGUGUCAUCAACACUUCGCAGACACCAACGCAUCCAUACAGGGGAGAAACCGUUCACUUGUGGAUUCUGUGACAAAUCAUUCUCAGAUUUAUCACACCUUCACAGACACCACCAUAUCCACACUGGAGAGAAACUGUUUAAGUGUGAAGCUUGUGAGAAAUCAUUCUGUGACUCAUCAAGUCUCCUGCUCCAUCAGAGGAUUCACACAGGGGAGAAACCAUUCACAUGUGAGAUGUGUGACAAAUCAUUCUCAGUGUUAAAUUCCCUCCACAAGCACCAACGCAUUCAUUCAGGGGAGAAACCAUUUACAUGUGAAGUGUGCGACAAAUCAUUCUCUGAGUCAUCAAACCUUCGCAGACACCAACGCAUUCAUACAGGGCAGAAACUGUUCAUGUGCCAAAUUUGCAACAAAUCAUUCCAGAGAUCCUGGAACCUCCUGCUCCAUCAGAGGAUCCACACAGGGGAGUAAUCCUUCAACUGUGAGGUUAGUGUUGAACGUUUUGUAAUUUAUUUGGUCACCUAGUUCAAGACAGGAUUCACACAGGGGAGAAAUGCUUUAUGUGCCAUGUUUGUACCAAGGUUUUUGCACAGUCAGCAUAUCCGUUUUCCAUCAACACAUUCUCACAGGAGAGAAAUCCUGUCAGUGAAUGUUCAGUAAUAAAGCCUCCACAUAGUUGAUGGAUGUCCUGAAACCCACACAACAACUACCUGACCAAUUCUUGCACAAUUUGUAGUCAGGAUGUGUGUAACAGUGUACACAGUCUCAUGGUGCAGGGUGUUCAGUGGGACUGGGACACGGAACAAGAAGCAGCUUUCACUCCCAUCAAACACCUAGUGAUGACAUCACCAGUGCUGAGGGAUUAUGAUGUCAACAAUGGAGCCACCCUGCAGUGUGAUGUCAGUGACACAGGACUUGGAGCAACCUCCAGGCAGUGAGGGCAACCCGUUGUGUUUGUAUCCAGAGAGUUAACACAAACUGGAAAACACUACACAGAUCAAGAAAGUGGGUCUGAUUAUCGUCUUUUCCUUUCACCAGUGUGUGUUUCGGAGAGAGAAAGUUAUGGUAGAGUCUCACCACAAGCCAUCUUUCUGAAGCCGUUCUGUUUGCGACAAAGAAUUUGCUCAGGCUAUUGCAUAGAUAUCAUUUGGAAGUGAAGUAAAUCAAGGAAAACAGAUGUACAUUCCACUCAUGCUGUUGGGAGCUGCUCUCUCUUUGAAAAACGUUGAUGCUCACAGAGUUUGAGAUCUUCCAGAUUCAAUAAGAAGCAACAGCACAGCAUGUUCUGGAAAUCAUCAAACCACGUCUGGGGCUGUGGUCAUUUCUGUGAGUUCUUGACAAUCCCAUGUAUGGAGAAUGGACAAAACAGUGGUUAAAGAGAGAAAGGCAACGAUGAAUGAAAAAAACCUACAAUGGACAGCCUUUUGAUCACUAUUUCGUUGACAAGGAUCAAAAAGAUGUGAUUUUCUGCUUCAAACAUCUGAAGGAUCUUGUUAUUUUCCUACUGGUCUUGAUAAGAUGAGAACCGAGACUAUUUGCCUCUAAGAGAGCCUUGGAUAAGAGUUGCUGAAGUUAUUUUCUUAUAAGCAAAAGGUGAACUGUGAUGAAUCUACACAAACUGAUUAAUGAGAGAGAAAGCCCCAAGCUGGGCAGGGGCAAAGGUGAGUACAGCAGCCUGGCAACAAACACAGAUCAGAGGAGAUUGAAUAAAAAGAUAUAUGCCAUUGUUUUCUGACAUCCUGAUAAACCUUGAGGAACUUGGGAGGGUCAGCAUGAUUAUUAGGGGGAAAUGGUCUGGUCAAUCACUGAGGUCGUGAAAAGGUCUCAUUCCACAGUUUGACCACCCGAGGAUAGAAUAUGGAACCUACUUUUAUUGUCAUGCGUACUCCAUUGAGGAAGUAUAGGAGUGCUUUGAUAAGCUUUUACAAUGUCUGCUUUUUAUGGCGCCAUCUUAGGUACAAAUACCUAGGUACAAAUCUUGGAUACAAAAGAGGAAUAAAAAGUAGAGAUAACAAGGUGUAGAGCUGGAUGAACACAGCAGGCCAAGUAGCAUCAGAGGAGCAGGAAAGCUGACGUUUUCGGGUCUGGACCAUUCUUCAGAAAUGGGGGAGGGGAAGGGGAUUCUGAAAUAAAUAUUCUCAGGAAUAAAAAGUAGUUGCAUUACUUUACAGAGUUUUGAAAACUAAUUUAGAAAUAAGACAUAGUUAAAGCAUUGACCUUACAGUCAGGUAAAAAUUUUCAAAUAGACAUUACAUGGCAGCAGCUCAGUGCAGGGCCUCUGCAUGUGUUCUAACCGCCCACAGCACAAACCGGUCCAACAACCAUCCCUGCUGUGCUACAAGCCUCCAGUCCGCUCCGUACUGGCACUCGGCUGUUCUAAGAUAAGUUGCAGGACUGCCUCCCCUGCACCAGUCUCUGUCCGGGAUUCACUCCCCAUGCAUUUCUCUGGGACUCGGAUGGACCCCUACCACAUGGGAAUGCCAAUUUCCAGUUUUGAGAGUUUAUUUUGGAGAGCAGCUCCAUAAAUGUAGCUUUGUGAAUACAUUCUCCAUACAGAAGCCUAAUUACACUACACACUUGUUCUGCGUCAUUUUGUAUCCAGACUAAGACCAAAAUCUAAAAUGUGGACAGUCUGGGGAAAAGAGGAGGUGUCUACAGUUUCUUCAUUCACUUUGCAAUGUGGCUGUGUUCCAGUAAACAGGGGUCAGAGUGAGAGGGGAGGGUUAUACAACAAGCCCAGAAUCUGGGGAGUUAUUCAUGUAGCCCUGACAACAGUUUUAAUCCAUGGAUGGAUUUGGAAAACAAGUUCAAAACUAACUAAAAAUAAGACUGAACUUUCCUGUGCAGAAUGGGUGAUUCCUUGUUUUAUUCCUAACACAUUGUUAGAACCGUGUCUAAACAAUAAAACUUUCUUGAGUGAAUGAAA